rnacentral:rRNA from 1 species
UACGUAGGGUGCGAGCGUUGUCCGGAAUUAUUGGGCGUAAAGAGCUCGUAGGCGGUGUGUCACGUCGGCCGUGAAAACCUGCAGCUUAACUGUGGGCGUGCGGUCGAUACGGGCAUCACUGGAGUUCGGCAGGGGAGACUGGAAUUCCUGGUGUAGCGGUGAAAUGCGCAGAUAUCAGGAGGAACACCAGUGGCGAAGGCGGCGACCUGGACGGACACUGACGCUGAGACGCGAAAGCGUGGGGAGCAAACAGG